rnacentral:rRNA from 1 species
GAUGAACGCUAGCGGCAGGCUUAAUACAUGCAAGUCGAGGGGCAGCAGGGCUGUAGCAAUACAGCUGCUGGCGACCGGCAAACGGGUGCGGAACACGUACGCAACCUUCCUUUAAGUGGGGAAUAGCCCAGGGAAACUUGGAUUAAUACCUCGUAAUAUUAAGUGGUGGCAUCACCGUUUAAUUAUAGCUCCGGCGCUUA